ACAACAACAUUUGGACUGUCGGUCUACGGAGCAAUGUCAUCUGCUCGGUGGAAGAUCUUCCCUUUGUCGUUUAAG
rnacentral:pre_miRNA from 1 species